rnacentral:misc_RNA from 1 species
GAUGAAGAACGUAGCGAAAUGCGAUAAGUAAUGUGAAUUGCAGAAUUCAGUGAAUCAUCGAAUCUUUGAACGCACAUUGCGCCCGCCAGUAUUCUUGCGGGCAUGCCUGUUCGAGCGUCAUUACAACCCUCAGGCCCCCGGGCCUGGCGUUGGGGAUCGGCGGAGCCCCCCGUGGGCACACGCCGUCCCCCAAAUGCAGUGGCGGUCCCGCCGCAGCUUCCAUCGCGUAGUAGCUAACACCUCGCGACUGGAGAGCGGCGCGGCCACGCCGUAAAACACCCAACUCUUCUGAAGUUGACCUCGAAUCAGGUAGGAAUACCCGCUGAACUUAAGCAUAUCAAUAAGCGGAGGA